UACAGAGGGUGCAAGCGUUAAUCGGAAUUACUGGGCGUAAAGCGUGCGUAGACGGUUAUGUAAGUCAGAUGUGAAAGCCCCGGGCUUAACCUGGGAAUGGCAUUUGAGACUGCAUAGCUAGGGUGCGGAAGAGGGAAGCGGAAUUUCCGGUGUAGCGGUGAAAUGCGUAGAUAUCGGAAGGAACACCAGUGGCGAAGGCGGCCACCUGGUUGGAUACUGACGCUGAGACGCGAAAGCGUGGGGAGCAAACAGG
rnacentral:rRNA from 1 species